rnacentral:lncRNA from 1 species
ACUUGGACCUAGCAGCAUCAAUGAGCCAGCUCCUCACUGGGGAACAUGCAAACCCCCAGCUGCUGGUGUGCAGGAAAAGAAUCCAGGAGAUCACCUGAUGAAGCCCAGCAUUUUACAGGCAGUGGAGCAGGGGAAUCCAGUUGACACUGUGGCUAAAUUUCAGAAAACCUCCCAUGAGAUCUUGCAAAGGAGAUGGAGAAAAUAUGGCUGAAUGCCAGCAAGGCCAAUGAAGAUACACAGGCUUUCCAUGGCGCACAUGAGGGAGGACAUGGACUUGAGAAUUGUGAGGCUUGAAGAAUCCUCAGAGAUCACCUAGCAUAACAGGAAACCAAGGAUUUGGAGGGAAAAAUCUUGUCGCAGAUCACACAGAAAUAUCAGGGCCUGGUUUGAAUCUUACCUCUGCCCCAACCAGUUGUGUGACCUUGAGAAAGUGAAGAUCUUUUUUGUUCAUUGGUUUCCUCAUCUGUAAAAUAGGGAUUUAAUUUUACCUGCCUCAGAAGAUUGUAGUGAGGAUUAAAUGAGGUGAUAAAACUAUAAUGUUUAGGACAGUAAAUUGUAUGUAAUAUAAUAUUAAUAAAUAUUAGCCAUUAUUAAUAUUAUUUUGCCCUGAACUCUAGUCCAGCAAUCUUUCUACUUCUCUAUGUCACUUCUAUAAUAGACGCCUAACACACAAUAGAUGCCAAAUAAAUAUUUGUUAUAUAAAUGAACAAUGCUCAUCCAUAAUGGUGACUCUAAAAUAUAAAAAAAAAAUUUUCUUCUGAUUCUUCUGCUUAAGAAAAAUAAAUAAAUAGAGCAAAUGUUUUAAAA